rnacentral:lncRNA from 1 species
UCGCGUCCAAAUUAAGUAGGGAAGGAGUUUCAACCAAAACGAAAAACUACGCCCGAAAUUUCAAAAUUAACUAUGCGACCGCAUAGAAGGGAUCUAUGCGGUCGCAUAGAUCAUUUUUUUCUCUCAUUUAAUUCCCUAAAACCUUCUAUGCGACCGCAUAGAAGGUUACACUAUGCGGUCGCAUAGAAGUAGCCAUCUAUGUGGUUUGUGCAAUUUGGUCCCUGAACUUCUUUGUUGCUUCUCUUGACUUCUUUCUUCGAUUUCUUCAUCUUUUCAACAAUUCUUAUCUUCCAAUUGAUGAUCG